rnacentral:rRNA from 1 species
UACGUAGGGUGCAAGCGUUGUCCGGAUUUAUUGGGCGUAAAGAGCGUGUAGGCGGUCAGGUAGGUCAGCUGUGAAAACUCGAGGCUCAACCUCGAGACGCCGGUUGAAACCAUCUGACUAGAGUCCGGAAGAGGAGAGUGGAAUUCCUGGUGUAGCGGUGAAAUGCGCAGAUAUCAGGAAGAACACCUGUGGCUAAGGCGGCUCUCUAGUACGGUACUGACGCUGAGACGCGAAAGCGUGGGGAGCGAACAGG